rnacentral:tRNA from 1 species
CCUUCGAUAGCUCAGUUGGUAGAGCGGAGGACUGUAGACUGGACACCCAGCCGCGGCCAUCCUUAGGUCGCUGGUUCGAUUCUGCUGGAAGGA